rnacentral:rRNA from 1 species
UACAGAGGGGGCAAGCGUUGUUCGGAAUUACUGGGCGUAAAGGGCGCAUAGGCGGCCUGCUAAGUCGAACGUGAAAUCCCCGAGCUCAACUCGGGAACUGCGUCCGAUACUGGCAGGCUUGAAUCCGGGAGAGGGAUGCGGAAUUCCAGGUGUAGCGGUGAAAUGCGUAGAUAUCUGGAGGAACACCGGUGGCGAAGGCGCUCUGCUGGACCAUAACUGACACUCAGGGACGAAAGCUAGGGGAGCGAAUGGG